AGCAGCUUUGAGUUUGGGCCAUCUGCGUUCCUGGACAUGCUAUUGUUUAAUAGAAAUAAAACAAGAGCUUGUUUCUCCCUCCCUGUUUUUAACAGCAGUCUGUUUCAUCUCAGCAGCCUGCAGGCUGGGGAGCGUUGUGUUUGUCUACCCGCCUCGCUGUGCACAUGCCCCCUCUAUAAAUCUGUCUCCUCCCCUUAACCCUAGCCCAUUCCAGGACAAUGGCGCUGCCUUUGGCUUGAUUUACAGGGGAAAGACGUUUAUAUUCCCGAAAUUAGAUCUGGUUUGUGGGCUUCACCAGCUGUAAUCCCCUCCUAUAUCCCUCCAUCCCCCCAGGAUGUUAAAGGUUUAUUAAAACUUGGCUUCGCUCUUCAGCUCAGAAAGUGGAACGGGUUGACAACUGAAACCAGGACCAUUGCGGAAGACCAAUAUAGACAACUUUGAACUUGCUUAGGGGAUCCCAGAACCACUCACAAUGACUGCAAAUAAAACAGCAGUGUUAGAAAGCAACUAAAAGGCUUUUGAAGAGAGUCUAUUGCACUGAGCAAAAGAUUGGGAAAUGGGGCCCACAGACCUGCAGCCGGUGACUGAAACUGGGGAGCACAAAGCAGGCAGCUCCAGCGAUGCGGCAGGGAGUGUGGAAGGCAGGUUUUUACAAGCUUGUCUGCAUUACAUCAGCAGGGCAUACAUUUACUCAAGAGAAGAGCCAUCUCAGCGUGCUGCGCUUACAGGAAUGUGUCUAAAUCCCACUUCUGAAGAAUCCCAGGAUCGUCGACACUCCUCUGAGGCACUUUGGGGCUCAUUGCUUGAACAUGAGAACUUUGGGCCGUGUACAAGUGUAGUGCUGAUUAAACCGACACAGUGUAAUCAGAGCGAAUGAACAAGCCUAGGUUUGUUUGAUCUGAAUGUGCUCACUCAUUCACACACACUCACACUGACUUAUCACACACACUCAUUCACACUCAUCACACACUC